AUUUGUUACAAAGUUCAGACUUCACAGCUGAAAGUGAGUCAGUUCUUUAUCUGGGUAUGUUUAUCUUGGAACAAGGUUCAGAAAUGGAAACUUGAAACACCACCCCUAAAAUUAGUACUAACCAUCACCCACUUUCCCUUACAGGCAGACCUGGAUCUUCAGAAAGUUUUCUAAAAAGCUCCAUUUAUUUCAAAUGUAUAUAAAUUAGAUAAUUUUGAAUUAGAACACUUUAUAGAGAGGUUUUCAUAAAUGUCCCCGAAUUUGUUGUUAGUACUUAUUCCUUUUGGCCUGUCAGGUAGGGGUGACUUCUCUUAUGCCAAUUCAUAAGUAAUCCUUCCAGUUCACAAGGUUUAAACAGAAGUCAGAGCCCAGUUAAUAAACCCAGACUCUGCCAUUUGGCAGCUGAGUGGCCUCUCAGCUUCAGUUUCCUCAUGUGUAAAAUGAGGAAAGUAAUGAAUGCACAUGGUGUUUUAUAAGAGUUAUAAUAAUGGUCAAUUCUAAGCAAACUGACCACACA
rnacentral:lncRNA from 10 species